CCUGACUACAAACUAUCAUUAUGUGUAUUCCGUGUGGAAAGAGGUCGGGUCAAUUUCGAGUGUUAUCUGACAUCUAAAGAUUCUUUAAUUAGUUCAGACGUUGAUAUAACAAUGAAAAGUCGACUGAACAUGAUUAAUAUUGCAUCUUCUAUAAUUCAAAGCGGAAUUCGGUUUAUGAACGAGAAACCGUAAAAGCGUUUCUAGUUAUGUAUGUUGUCUACGUAUUAUCCUGGUUCCCCGUACUACGUUCCGGGUAUUAGCUAUUUGAUAUAUGUGAUGUGUAAUAUUACGAUCGGGUACCAGCCAAUCUACGUGUGUAUGUGUAUAUGAUUUCCCGCCAAAAUGGCCGAUUUACAGCUAAAAAAAUAGUCCAUAAACGUUCCGUAUAAUGAUAUGCAAAUUCAUGAUUAAUCGUAACUUUUUUUUAUCUUUGUAUAAUAAAUAUAACAAAAUGGAAACCACAAAAUUGAAAAUAACAUUAUUUUACGAGGAUUUCUCAUAUUUUUCUCACUUCCGGCGCAGUAAUACGUAUGUUUUGAAGAAGCUCGAAGGAUUUGUCAAAGUGAAUUGAGAAGGAAACGGAUAGAUAUACGUCCUUGCUAUCAGGGCACAAACCCACUUUAAAGAGACUUGUCUACUGCCAUACCCAUCCUAUUUUCAUGCUCCAUUUGCAAGCAAGAGACUGAAUGGUUUGCAAAAUUAAAAAUCAGGACGGUGUCCAAUUAAAACAAAAGAACUAAACUGGAUGAAUAUUGUAGGAGAAAUCUAGAGGAAAGUUUUGAUUUGUGAAAUUGGUUUUUCUGAAAAGUCAUUCAUCCUAGCCUGCAGAAAGGAACUAUAACUGUCCACCACCAACUGACGAGCUAAUGUUGAGCUUCACAUAUGGAAUUACUCAAAUACCAUCAAUGUCUAUGUUUUCAGCACAGAUUUCACAAGUUAUGACAAAGCUGUGCUUUUUUUUAUACCUGUUAAAGAGUUGUAUACUAAAUUUAAUUUUUUUAUCAAUAAAUAUAUAUUGUGUCA